AUGCCACAAAAAGAUUCAGAUAUGCACAUCAGGAAAAUGCCAUGUGAAGAUGAUGGCAGCGAUCAGGGUGAUGCCUCUAGAAGCCAAGAAUGUCAAAGAUUGCCAGCAAACCACCAGAAGCGAGGAGAGCGCCACGGGACAGAUUCUUCCUCCCAGUCCUCAGAAAAAGACAACCCUGCUCACACCUUGAUCUGGACUUGUUGCUUCCAGAACUGUGAGACUGUACAUUUCUGUUGUUUAAGCCACCUGCUUCGUGGAAAUUUGUUAGGUGAAACACCUUUUGAUUUGCCCAAGGGACAAGAGAACAACAACUCUUGGAAGAAGAAGACAAAGUUUGUCAAUUUACACACAAGAGAGGGACCCACAGGCUUGCAGUCUGCUCCCCCAGUUGCCACCCUUGUGAUUGCCUGGGCCAGAAGCACAAGCUCAUCAAUAGCUGUCUGAUUGGUGGGCUUGUUGUUUGUGAAUAAGAGGGCUCCAGCUCUUGAUUAUUCUGUGUCACGCUGAUAUGUACUCAUGAAGAACAGGAUAUUUUACAGAAUGACUCAAAUGAAAGCCAGAAACUGCUAAAGAAGCUCAUGCCAUUGAUGGGGAAUUCUGGAAAAGUGGACAUCUCUGCCAAGGACUUUCUGUGUCAUCGAGAAUUUCAAAUUAAGUCUGGUCUGGUGAAGGCUAUCAAGCACAAACUGUUGGAGUUGGACCAGGCUAGUUUUCAAAGGAAUCACCCAAGUCGUUGGUGAUGAUCAGAUUACUUUGCCAGUGAUUCUAACCUGUGGUUGUCCAAACUUAAGCGGGAAACCAAACAAGAAGCGAGAAGAGGUGCUGAGAGAACUUCGACAUGCUUCUCUACUCUCUAAGAAGGUCACCAUUAAUUUUACAGGCAGGGAAGAUCCCGGAAAAAGAAAAUCCAUUAGCAGAAUAUCACAGCAGAAUACAUGAGACAAUAUAGGCCUUUGCCAAGGAAACCUUGAAUCAGACACUGACCACAUUUGAUAUAUCUCCUGAAGAGCCUUUGGGAAUUCUGAUAAAUCUCAACAUGUACCAGACCCCUCGCCAGUGGGUUGACCACACAGGUGCAGCCUCAUAUAAUAAGGCUUCCCAUUCAGCAGGAUUGGGACUAGAGUUCAGCUCAUUUCAGUACCACUUGUGAAUGCAGGAUUAAGACUUUCAGGGAGGUUUGACAGUGUGUCAUGCCUCUCUAUACAUCAUCCCUGGGUUUCUCAGCUUGUUAGAGGGAUUAGAAAAGAAUGGAGUGCAGAUCCUGGUACAUCUUCCACAAAGGACAACUUUGGAGAGCAGUCGUAGCCAAAACCUCCCUCUGCCUUUAAGAAGUCUCAGAACUCCAGGCUACAUAUCAUCUUCUUCAUGGGAAAGAUGUGGAAUUUCCCAGGAACUAUCCAUCAGGUUGUCUUCUGGGCUGUCUGGACCUAACUGGUUGUUUCAGAAGCAAUUUAAGGAGCAGUUUCCAGACGUCAGUCAAGAAUCACGUUCUCCACUUGUUUUCAUCUCCAAAAAUCCUCAGGAAAUGGUUGUGGAGUUUCCUAUUAAAGAAAAUAAAAAAAUCUGGAAACUGGAUUCCAAGAUCCACCAAGGAGCAAAGAAGGGGUAAAUGAAGCAGAAUACAGCUUUCUGAAUCAGGAGAAAAGAAACUAUACAGCACAGUGGAGUCUGGUACACUAAAAUUGCCAUCCACUCGUUUUUUGGAAUUGAAGCAGUAGAAAUCUAAAGGUGUGGCAUCAGGCUUGAAUCUCUCAGAAUUUUAACUCUUACCAAAAUCUGUAUUUUUCUUAAGGAGUAGGAUUCUUACUUAUGUAGUGGCUCGAAAUCUUUGAAUACAUUAUUUAUAAAAAACUAUUUGAAAAAAAGUUCAGGAGUAUUUCCUAUUAUUUGGAGGUUACUGAGGCUACAAACUUGCAGGUUUCUAUAUAAAACAUUUCCUCUCUCAUCUUUCUUUUGACAUGGGAAAAUACAAUGAGAUCAUGGUAAAAUAUGAAAAGUGGAAGAGGAGUGUGGUGUAUGAGACACUGGUUGAG